UACGUAGGGUGCGAGCGUUAAUCGGAAUUACUGGGCGUAAAGCGUGCGCAGGCGGUUUUGUAAGUCUGUCGUGAAAUCCCCGGGCUUAACCUGGGAAUGGCGAUGGAGACUGCAAGGCUAGAGUUUGGCAGAGGGGGGUAGAAUUCCACGUGUAGCAGUGAAAUGCGUAGAGAUGUGGAGGAACACCGAUGGCGAAGGCAGCCCCCUGGGUCAAAACUGACGCUCAUACACGAAAGCGUGGGGAGCAAACAGG
rnacentral:rRNA from 1 species